CACGUAGGGCGCAAGCGUUGUCCGGAAUUAUUGGGCGUAAAGAGCUUGUAGGCGGUUUGUCGCGUCUGCUGUGAAAUUUCGGGGCUCAACCCCGAACUUGCAGUGGGUACGGGCAGACUAGAGUGCGGUAGGGGAGACUGGAAUUCCUGGUGUAGCGGUGAAAUGCGCAGAUAUCAGGAGGAACACCGGUGGCGAAGGCGGGUCUCUGGGCCGUAACUGACGCUGAGGAGCGAAAGCGUGGGGAGCGAACAGG
rnacentral:rRNA from 1 species